CUGCUAAUUUUAGCAUCACAAGUGCUAAAAUUAAAAGAGUACAGAGAAAAUUCGAGUGGCCAUUGUACCAGGAUGGCAUGCAGAGUUGCAUGGUGUAGAAUAUUCUU
ensembl:snRNA U6 U6 spliceosomal RNA